UGAGCCUAUGUGGGAAGAUGAGAAAAAAAAUGGGAUGGAAGAUGGCUCAUACAUUGAACAAACAGCAGUGACGAAGUGACCUCGAUUGUUUUUUGGUUAGAGACACUGCUGGGCUUAUUGGAAAAUCUUUUGAUAACUACAGUGAUAUGUAUGUGAGCUGUUGUUAAUGUUAGAGCUAAUGGUGAUAAGACAGCAAUAUGGACUACUGAAUGUGAAAACAGAGAGGCUGUUACACACAUGGGGAGAAUCUAUAGGGAAAGGUUAGGACUUCCUCCAAAGAUAGUGAUUGGUUAUCAAUCCCAUGAAGACACAGUUACUAAGGGUGGCUUCACCACUAAAAAUAGGUUUGUUGUUUAAGAAGACACCUUCUGAGUAUUCUCACAGGAGACUGUGUCAAGCAAUCAAGAUUUGGGAGCUGAACCAAAUCCUCUUCAAAAGCAGAGUGAACUGCAUUUAAAUUUGAUUCCAUCUAAAUGUUACUCAGAUAUAAGAGAAGUCUCAUUCACCUUUGUCUUGUACUUCUGUGUUCAUUGUUUUUUAAAAAUUUUUAUCAUAGUGUCCACAACCCCAAUCAAAGAAUUACAGUCCACAUCACCCCCAGAAUCCAUAAAUGUGUUCCUGGCUCACUUGGUAUUAGCUUAGUAGAAUUACCAUUACAAACAUGUUUUACC
rnacentral:lncRNA from 1 species